CAGUAGCCGCGGUAAUACGAAGGGUGCAAGCGUUAAUCGGAAUUACUGGGCGUAAAGCGUGCGCAGGCGGUUGUGUAAGACAGGUGUGAAAUCCCCGGGCUUAACCUGGGAACUGCGCUUGUGACUGCACAGCUAGAGUAUGGCAGAGGGGGGUGGAAUUCCACGUGUAGCAGUGAAAUGCGUAGAGAUGUGGAGGAACACCGAUGGCGAAGGCAGCCCCCUGGGCCAAUACUGACGCUCAUGCACGAAAGCGUGGGGAGCAAACAGGAUUAGAUACCCCAGUAGUCCCUGUCUCUUAUAC
rnacentral:rRNA from 1 species